rnacentral:ncRNA from 1 species
AUAAAGUUUGAUUUUGGCUUUGAUAUUUAUUUUAAGAUUUUUCUUUAUGGAAAUUUUUGUGUUCAUUUUUAAAAAAUUUUUAAAAAAUUUUUUGAAUAAUUUUUUCAGUUUAUAAAAUUAUUUUUUUUAAAGAAAUUUAGAAAUAUAAAUUUUAAUAAUAUAGGUUAAAAUUGUGCCAGCAGCUGCGGUUAUACAAUUUAUAUUAGUAAAUAAUAUUUAAAUAUAAAUUCAUUUAUUUAUUAAAUAUUAUAUAAUUAAAUAAAAAUUAAUUAAGUGAAAUUUUUUUUUUUUAUAAAUAUCUUUAAAAUAAAAUAAUUUUGUGAAAUUUUAUUAAUAAACUAGGAUUAGAUACCCUAUUAUUUAAAAUUUAAAAUAAAAAAAUUUAAAAGAUUAAUAGUUAAGUUCUUUAAAUUUAAAAGAAUUGGCGGUGUUUAAAACUAAUUAGGGGAACUUGUUUUUUAAAUGAUACUCCGCAUGAUACCUUACUUUAAUUAAUUUAGUUUAUUUACUGCCGUUAACAGAUUAUUUUUUAAAAAAUUAAAUUUUCUAAAUUAUUUUAAAAGUAAUUAUUUCAGGUCAUGGUGUAAUUUAUAUUAAAGUAAAAAUGAGUUACAAUAAAAUUUAUUUAUUUUAUGAAUAUUUAAUUGAAAUAUUAAAUUGAAAGUGGACUUGAUAGUAAAUUAAAAUAUUAUAUUUAUUUGAAUUUAGAAUUAAAUGUGUACAUAUUGCCCGUCGCUCUCGUUUUAAGAUGAGAUAAGUCGUAACAUAGUAGAAGUACUGGAAAGUGUUUCUAGAAAUUUU